AGGCUUAACACAUGCAAGUCGAGCGCCCCGCAAGGGGAGCGGCAGACGGGAGAGUAACACGUGGGAACGUACCCUUCGGUUCAGGAACAACCCAGGAAACUUGGGCUAAUACCGGAUACGUCCGUAAGGAGAAAGAUUCAUCGCCGAGGGAUCGGCCCGCGUCUGAUUAGCUUGUUGGUGAGGUAACGGCUCACCAAGGCGACGAUCAGUAGCUGGUCUGAGAGGAUGAUCAGCCUCACUGGGACUGAGACACGGCCCAG
rnacentral:rRNA from 1 species